rnacentral:rRNA from 1 species
AUUGAACGCUGGCGGCAUGCUUUACACAUGCAAGUCGAACGGCAGCACGGACUUCGGUCUGGUGGCGAGUGGCGAACGGGUGAGUAAUACAUCGGAACGUGCCCAGUUGUGGGGGAUAACUACUCGAAAGAGUAGCUAAUACCGCAUGAGAACUGAGGUUGAAAGCAGGGGAUCGUAAGACCUUGCGCAACUGGAGCGGCCGAUGGCAGAUUAGGUAGUUGGUGGGAUAAAAGCUUACCAAGCCGACGAUCUGUAGCUGGUCUGAGAGGACGACCAGCCACACUGGGACUGAGACACGGCCCAGACUCCUACGGGAGGCAGCAGUGGGGAAUUUUGGACAAUGGGCGAAAGCCUGAUCCAGCAAUGCCGCGUGCAGGAUGAAGGCCUUCGGGUUGUAAACUGCUUUUGUACGGAACGAAAAGCUUCGGGCUAAUACCCUGGAGUCAUGACGGUACCGUAAGAAUAAGCACCGGCUAACUCUGUGCCAGCAGCCGCAGUAACAC